rnacentral:lncRNA from 1 species
GCCGUGUAAGGUACAAGAACAUACCCUGUGGUAAAAAUUGAUCAAUUUCUACUAAACAAACCCAUGUGGGUUUGUUUCCACAGUACUUUCACUUUAAUGGGUCCAUGGAUCAGAAAGUCAUUGCAUUAGUGUGCCUGCACACUGAUUAAUGUGAAUGGAAUAUAUAUACCCUCAAAUAAAAGCUCACCAUUGCUAAUUCAAACCAUGUUCCUCUUCAUCAUCAUAUUCAUCGGUAUCACGAACUGUCAAGAUCAGUUCUGUCC